rnacentral:misc_RNA from 1 species
CCCCAAUGGGUUCUCCGGAUUUCUGGAGACUUGUAGGGGUUGUGGGAUUUUUGAUGUGUCGUCUCCGGACGGGCGGUGCAGGGUAGUCGAGUUAGACUUGGUGGAGUUCCGUCGAGUCUGGUCGGCUGUGUGUUGGACGGUGCAGGGUAGGCUGCUUGGAGAUGGUCGGUUCGAGGAUCGAUUCGAGGGCCGGCCUGUCGAUGGUGUGUGAUGUAUGCGGUCUAGGGUAGGCUGGUUUGUCUUGGUUCAAUUUGAUGUCGCCUCCCGUGCAGGCCAGAGUGAGGAGGGUCCAGGGUAGGUACAGGGUAGGCAGCUUAGAUUUGGUUGAUCUGGAGGUCGAUUCUCCGGCUGGCGGAUCUGACACUGUCGAAACGAGAUGCGAGCGGUGUAGGGUAGGCUAGUUUCGUCCUCGCCAGGUUGCGAUUUGGACGAGAUGUGUGGUUUAGGGUAGGCUCUAGGGUAAGUAGAACUCGAGUUUCGUCGCCGACAGUUUUCUGUGGGUGUAUGGUAGGUACAGGGUAGGCAAAUCUCUCUCCGGCCAGUACUUGUCUGGUGGUCGUGAGUCGAUUUUUUUGUUUUGCCAUACUAUUGAAUUUUGCGGAAAUUCAAAAGUGGCUCGGGAGUCCCGCCUGGCGUGCGUCCGACUCGAACAUCGUCGGUGUACAUAUGAGAGGGAGUAAUCCGGCCCGGCCGGGGCCCAUCGCGAGCUGCCGGGUAGGUAAAAGUAAAAAAGUUGUUAAGAGGCGCGGUGUCGGCGUGCUUGUAUUUGCGGGAGAGAAUUAUCUGGGGGUGCUGGGUAGCCGGGAAGACUUGGACGGAUCUGGCCCGGGAAUGGGUCUGGGCCUGGAUUCUGGUGUGGUGUAGGGUAGGCUUAGAUAGAUGAGUGGUCUAGGGUAGAUACAGGGUAGCCAGACGUCUGGUAUAUAGUAUGGGGGUGUAGGGUAGGUCUGGACACCGUUUUCCACUUCGCCCUUCCCUUUAGUCGAGGGAGGACGAUCUUGGCUGGGACGGAGGUGUAGGGUAGGCUUAAUUUACGAUUACAUGAUCUGUGUCACUCUAGGGUAGGUGAAAAUCCCAUAUAUAUCUGAUCACAUUUGGUGAGGAGGUGGUUUGGCUGGUGAGAUGGACAAAAGUGCAAUGUAGAAUUAUAUGUGAUUUUGCAAAAGUGGGUGUGAAAUUGGAAAGUCGGUUUUCCCGCACAGAUGAGAGCACGUUUAAGGUGCCAUAAGAUGCAACUAUCCGAGACGACCUCAACGGUGCCACCCAUGUGUUGGUCGGGCUCCUGUGCGGCCGUCCAGGGCGGGAUAAGUAGAGAGUGUGGUGGUGUAGGGUAGGUGACCAGGUCCAGGGUAGGUUCGCCAAAUCCGUCAAUCCGGCUUGAAUCGAAGGGCAGGUCUAGGGUAGGCCAGAGUCGGGUCUAGGGUAGGCAACCCUCACCCUCGAAGUGGUCUACCCGGUAGCCAACUUCAAUCGCCUCUCACGGCCGCCACGGACCUCGCAUGACGACGGGACUACCACCAUCGGAUUCGCCUUGGUCGAAAUAGCUGGUAUAUGCACUUUUGAAAAAAUGCGUGCAAAAUGGUUUUGUGGUUUGGUGGCCGUGAGUCGAUUUUUUUGUUUUCCCAUACAAAUGAAUUUUGCGGAAAAUGAAAAGUGGCCCACGAGGCA